UGUUAUGGACAAGGAAAAAUACACGAAGAUAUUCUGAAACAAAUGGACAUUACUAUAUGUGGAGAAGAUCCUGGGAUUCCAUGUAUUCUGUUCGUUUACAAAAUUUCUUGUGAUAUUGAGGAUCUCCGCAACGCUCUACAAUGAGUUCAAAUGAAUCGGGGAAUACAAAGGGAAGACAUAUGCACCAUGAUCCUGCUGGAAAAGGUUUGGAAUAAACAAGAUAAGCCAAUAGAAGUAGAUCACCAAGGUGUGUUCGAUGAAGAAACUGUGGUUGUGCGAAUUCUCUGGGGAGAGCAGUGGUCCGGUGCCAAAGUUCAGAAGGGACCCAGAUACCAGAACGCAAUGGAGAAAGUUAAUCGGAGCAUCAGGGUGAGAGAACACAAUUGAAGAUGCUGUCUAACCUGUUGAGUAUUUCUCACUGUGACCUUGCACUGGAGUGUGACCUCAAUGGAGUGUGAGAGUUUGGUGAGCUGAGGGAAUCGUUAUAGUGUAGAAAGAGGCAAUCCGGCCCAUCAAGUCUGCACUGGCUCUCUGAAACAGCAUUCUGCCUCGUCCCACUCGCCUGCCUUAUCCCCGUAACCUUGUAUGUUCUUUCUUUUCAGAUAGCAAUCCAAUUCCCUUUUAAAUAUCUCAAUUGAACCAACCUCCACUACCCUCUCAGGAAGUUAGUUUCAGACUCC